rnacentral:rRNA from 1 species
AUUGAACGCUGGCGGCAUGCUUUACACAUGCAAGUCGAACGGUAACAGGCCUUCGGGUGCUGACGAGUGGCGAACGGGUGAGUAAUGCAUCGGAACGUGCCCAGAGGUGGGGGAUAACGCAGCGAAAGCUGUGCUAAUACCGCAUGUGAUCUGAGGAUGAAAGCGGGGGACCAGGCAGCAAUGUUUGGCCUCGCGCCUUUGGAGCGGCCGAUGUCAGAUUAGGUAGUUGGUGGGGUAAAGGCCUACCAAGCCGACGAUCUGUAGCUGGUCUGAGAGGACGACCAGCCACACUGGGACUGAGACACGGCCCAGACUCCUACGGGGGGCAGCAGUGGGGAAUUUUGGACAAUGGGCGCAAGCCUGAUCCAGCAAUGCCGCGUGCGGGAAGAAGGCCUUCGGGUUGUAAACCGCUUUUGUACGGAACGAAAAGGCUCUGGCUAAUACCUGGGGCUGAUGACGGUACCGUAAGAAUAAGCACCGGCGAACUACGU